rnacentral:lncRNA from 1 species
CACAGAGGGUGGAUUAAAGUGAGGCGUGCAGUUGUUAUGAAGCAUCAUGGUCUUUCACGGCAUCUUCCAGGAGAAAUUCCAGGUCCAUUUCUCGCCCCUGAUUAUGUGAUCACAUGCCAGAGCACUCCGGGAGGUGGGCAUCAGGGCAAGGGUGCGUGAGGAGAGCAGGCAAGCCCUAAUGACACCUGAUUUUAUAGUAAUCACCGAUAUUAUCCUUCGCAUUUACAGAGGGGAAGAUAAAGGCACUGACAGAUGAAGUCUAGUCCAAGAUGAAACAGAGAAGCAGUGGAAGGCUGAGCUCCUGCAAGCUAAUUUACACCUUUAUUCUUCACUUGCUUUCCUGGCAGCAGGAUCUGCAUAUAAAGCUCCUUCCUCUGCACUGCUUUCACCCACAAGUCUGAUUGAAUUGCACAUUGCAGAAUGCAGUGUGUGGAGGGCAUGCACAGCACC